CCGACCAGAAAAGUGGCCCCUGUGCAAGGACCUUAAGCUAUAGCGAAAAUUAGCACGAGCGAGACGCCCCGACACGCCUGAACAAAUCGGGGGACACGAAAUUCCGCAACCGUAGUCAUGAUAUUCAUCCUUGGGAUUACGACUCCGGUAUCCUAACCAUGCGGAUUGCAUGCACGUAAGAUGAAGGCCAAUGAUAGCGUCUUUCCAGACAGUGCAUAGACCUGCGAAGCAAAUCAUGAGACCAAUUGCACUCGAAAAACUUCUAACUGGUCACGAUACAUCACACCGUUGUCCCAUGGCUCAAAUCUAUUUUCAAUUUUUACCUUCGCAGCACCGGCAGCAGCUAUGCAAGGAGACCUAACAUCUUAACACCGGACUCACAAAUCCAAUACAGAAAGGGCAACUUCCCUGCGCGGCACCGCCCCUUUGCCGUCGGGGAUCACCAGGACAAUCACAAG
rnacentral:lncRNA from 1 species